ensembl:lncRNA
CCGAUGAAAAGAGCUGCUGCAGCGAAUAGGCCUAACUGGAGCUGCUAAAGCUCGGGAGGUGUGCAGCGGACAUAAAUACGAAGGGUUUCUGUGCAGUGCGGAACCUCUGGGCGGCGGUCGUCUGCAACUUGAGGAUUCCGAGGGCAAGGGUCGGGUAAUCCCCGGCCCUCGAUUCCUCCCCUUUCAGCCGUGAGACUGACCCUCGCGACGGGAACGAGCGCCGCUGCUCCUGUAAAUGGGCCCUUCGCGGCUCGCGGCCGUAAACCCCCAGCAGUCGCUCUCCGCUCCACCUUGUGGGAGGCCUGGCACCGAAAUCCGAACCCCUGGGACCCGGCCAAGGGUUGGAUAUCGCUUCGAGUUCUCUCUCGUCCUCGUCUCCUUUUUCCUGAACCUCUAUUUUGAAUGUCAGCUCCCUGGAGCUGCUGCAAGCCUGGUUGGGGCCAGGUCGGUGUGGCGGGCGCAGGUGGGAACGCUGUCUCUAAGCCCCGAGAUCAUUUACUGAGAACAGCCGCUUGGGCUAACCCGCUGCACAGAGCUCAGGGAAGCCCAGCUCCAAACCGUGGGAGUUUGGGAGCUUUUAAUUGGCAAGUUGGAUCCGAAAGAGUUUGCGGCGAAGGCUUCACUUAACUCUAGCUAGAACAAGUGAUUAAAUAUUUAGAGACAUGGUUGUAUUCUUAGUGAGCCCUAAGCCAAGUGGUGAAGUCCAUGGGGUCGCAAAGAGUCGGACACGACUGAGUGAACAGCCGAAGUGGUGCAUUACCAGAGAAUAUUCUUGAACCGUUGCUCUGUUCGAGUGCAUGCUACAUUUGUCUUUUGAGAGGAUGAAAAAAAAAAAUUAAGUACAAAUGCCAAGGUACCAAAUGUUCAAAACUUGGAUAAUGAAAAAAAAAAAAGCAAGCAUUUAUAAUCAUUCAACCCAGAGACAACUACCGUUAGCAUUUUGGUGUACUUCCCUCCAGCAUUUUCUUCUUUAAAAUUGAUUGUGUAUUCCUUUCUGUAGACUUUGAACUUUUCCACUUGGCAUUAUAUCAUGUUUUCCAUAUGAGGAAGCCAAGACACAGAGAGAUUAUGUGACUUGUCCCUCAAACCACAGAAGCAACAACUAAUAC